rnacentral:rRNA from 1 species
GGGUUGUGAGGUUAAGCGACUAAGCGUACACGGUGGAUGCCCUGGCAGUCAGAGGCGAUGAAGGACGUGCUAAUCUGCGAUAAGCGCCGGUAAGGUGAUAUGAACCGUUAUAACCGGCGAUUUCCGAAUGGGGAAACCCAGUGUGACUCGUCACACUAUCAUUAACUGAAUCCAUAGGUUAAUGAGGCGAACCGGGGGAACUGAAACAUCUAAGUACCCCGAGGAAAAGAAAUCAACCGAGAUUCCCCCAGUAGCGGCGAGCGAACGGGGAGGAGCCCAGAGCCUGAAUCAGCAUGUGUGUUAGUGGAAGCGUCUGGAAAGGCGCGCGAUACAGGGUGACAGCCCCGUACACAAAAGCGCAUAUGCUGUGAGCUCGAUGAGUAGGGCGGGACACGUGGUAUCCUGUCUGAAUAUGGGGGGACCAUCCUCCAAGGCUAAAUACUCCUGACUGACCGAUAGUGAACCAGUACCGUGAGGGAAAGGCGAAAAGAACCCCGGCGAGGGGAGUGAAAAAGAACCUGAAACCGUGUACGUACAAGCAGUGGGAGCACCCUUUGGGGUGUGACUGCGUACCUUUUGUAUAAUGGGUCAGCGACUUAUAUUCUGUAGCAAGGUUAACCGAAUAGGGGAGCCGGAGGGAAACCGAGUCUUAAUUGGGCGUUAAGUUGCAGGGUAUAGACCCGAAACCCGGUGAUCUAGCCAUGGGCAGGUUGAAGGUUGGGUAACACUAACUGGAGGACCGAACCGACUAAUGUUGAAAAAUUAGCGGAUGACCUGUGGCUGGGGGUGAAAGGCCAAUCAAACCGGGAGAUAGCUGGUUCUCCCCGAAAGCUAUUUAGGUAGCGCCUCGUGAAUUCAUCUCCGGGGGUAGAGCACUGUUUCGGCUAGGGGGCCAUCCCGGCUUACCAACCCGAUGCAAACUGCGAAUACCGGAGAAUGUUAUCACGGGAGACACACGGCGGGUGCUAACGUCCGUCGUGAAGAGGGAAACAACCCAGACCGCCAGCUAAGGUCCCAAAGUCAUGGUUAAGUGGGAAACGAUGUGGGAAGGCCCAGACAGCCAGGAUGUUGGCUUAGAAGCAGCCAUCAUUUAAAGAAAGCGUAAUAGCUCACUGGUCGAGUCGGCCUGCGCGGAAGAUGUAACGGGGCUAAACCAUGCACCGAAGCUGCGGCAGCGACGCUGAUGCGUUGUUGGGUAGGGGAGCGUUCUGUAAGCCUGUGAAGGUGGCCUGUGAGGGUUGCUGGAGGUAUCAGAAGUGCGAAUGCUGACAUAAGUAACGAUAAAGCGGGUGAAAAGCCCGCUCGCCGGAAGACCAAGGGUUCCUGUCCAACGUUAAUCGGGGCAGGGUGAGUCGACCCCUAAGGCGAGGCCGAAAGGCGUAGUCGAUGGGAAACGGGUUAAUAUUCCCGUACUUGGUGUUACUGCGAAGGGGGGACGGAGAAGGCUAUGUUGGCCGGGCGACGGUU